rnacentral:rRNA from 1 species
AACGAACGCUGGCGGCAUGCCUAACACAUGCAAGUCGAACGAGACCUUCGGGUCUAGUGGCGCACGGGUGCGUAACGCGUGGGAAUCUGCCCUUGGGUUCGGAAUAACAGUUAGAAAUGACUGCUAAUACCGGAUGAUGACUUCGGUCCAAAGAUUUAUCGCCCAGGGAUGAGCCCGCGUAGGAUUAGCUUGUUGGUGAGGUAAAAGCUCACCAAGGCGACGAUCCUUAGCUGGUCUGAGAGGAUGAUCAGCCACACUGGGACUGAGACACGGCCCAGACUCCUACGGGAGGCAGCAGUGGGGAAUAUUGGACAAUGGGCGAAAGCCUGAUCCAGCAAUGCCGCGUGAGUGAUGAAGGCCUUAGGGUUGUAAAGCUCUUUUACCCGGGAUGAUAAUGACAGUACCGGGAGAAUAAGCCCCGGCUAACUCCGUGCCAGCCGCCGCAGUAACAC